rnacentral:lncRNA from 1 species
UGGAACUGAUUUUUGGCUUGGCAUAUUUCUACUGUCUGUGUCAGAUACCCAUGUCGUAGAUAUACUGUCCAGCUUUGCUUGGAUAAUUGAUACCCCUUUUGACUGGCUCACUAUUAAGGGAAGUUGCUAUGACUCAAACUAGAUAUUUUGUGGCAGGUGGGAACUCUUAUGCUGAUGCACAAGAACUUUGGCCAUUCUGAUCGUUUGUUCCCACUCUUUAAUUUAACAAAAUAAACUUCUUU